CUGCCCUCACUUGUACCUCUCAUAAUCUUUCUUUCCUCUAUUGCACUGCCCUCACUUGUUUCAUCAUUGAUAGAGUCAAUAGUUUCUCUAUGUGUUAAACCUGAUUGAAUCUACUUUGUGGUUUGGUUCAUAUGCAAAACCUGUUUAAGUAAAAACCGGUUAUUUUUUCGAAACCAGUCCGAGUUCGGUUCAUAACCGAUUACGAUCUGGUUUAUUAUGAAAACUAGUUCACGAUGUUUUAGCUAGUUUUUUCUUCUCUUCUUCCUCAAAUUUGAUUCACGAUGUUUAUCUACCAA
rnacentral:lncRNA from 1 species